GUCUUUUUGAUAAUAAUAUAAAGUCUGACCUGCCCAAUGAAUAUUAAUUUUAAUGGCCGCGAUAUUUUGAUCGUGCAAAGGUAGCAUAAUCAUUAGUUUCUUAAUUAGGAACUGGUAUGAAAGGUUGAACGAGAAAAAUACUGUCUCAAUUUAAUUUUAUUAGAAUUUUAUUUUUAAGUAAAAAAGCUUAAAUUUAUUUAAAAGACGAGAAGACCCUAUAGAGUUUUAUAUUUUAUUAUAUUAAUAAAAGUUAAAGUAUUUUUUUUUUUAUUAUAAUAAAGUAUUUAGUUGGGGUGACUAAAAAAUUAAAUUAACUUUUUUUAUUUAUUUUACAUUUAUAUAUGAAUAAGUGAUCCAUAAGUUAUGAUUAAAAGAUUAAAUUACCUUAGGGAUAACAGCGUAAUUUUUUUUAAGAGUUCUUAUCGAAAAAAAAGUUUGCGACCUCGAUGUUGGAUUAAAAUUUACUUUUGGUGUAGGUGCUAAAAAAGUUAGGUCUGUUCGACCUUUAAAAUUUUACA
rnacentral:rRNA from 1 species